rnacentral:rRNA from 1 species
AUGCUAGUUCGUCAGAUGGUGCGGAAGCUGCAUAAGAGGAAGACAAAAUGGAUGCUGCUCAAGCUGGAUAUCUCUAGGGCUUUCAACUCGCUUUCAUGGACAUUCCUCUUCGAGGUGUUGCGUGCCAAAGGUUUCUCAAAUAGGUGGUGGUCCUGUAUAGCAACUCUACUUUAUACUGCCAGCUCUCGCGUGGUCGUCAAUGGUGCAGCAGGGAAGAAAUUCAUGCAUGCUUGCAGGCUUAGACAGGGAGAUUCAAUCUCGCCCCUGUUGUUAGUCAUCGCAAUGGACGUUCUCACUACAAUCUUCAUCAAAGUGCAUGAUGCACAGAUGCUCAGUAAAUUGAAUGGAUGUGGGCCUACUUAG